GGCAGCGGGAGGCCGGCUCCCGUGGCGCAAGCCAUGAGGAAAGUCCCCCCACCUGUCGGACAGGUGACCGGGCGCAAGCCCGGGGCGGGAGACCGUCGGCUCUGGAACAGCAACGACACGUCGUCGCCGGACCGAUGAGGUGUGCGAAUCCCGAGCGAGGCGACUCGUGCCCCACCAGACGGUGCGGCACGCCGCCAAAGCGAGGGAGAGGUAACCCACCGAGGGCAGUUGCGACCCGGUGACUCCGGGGCGCAUUCCGUGGGCCGUCUCUGACGCCCCACGCUUCCGGCGACGGACCGAUGGAACGGCGAAACCUCACCGGUGCAAGGCCGCGUCGACAGGUAGUCCGACGCUGCGCGCAAGCGCUGGACGUGGCCGCUCAGCCGAAUGCUGGCCCGAACAGAAGGGGGCUUACUCCCCGCAGCC
rnacentral:RNase_P_RNA from 4 species